CCUACGGGAGGCAGCAGUGGGGAAUCUUCCGCAAUGGGCGAAAGCCUGACGGAGCAACGCCGCGUGAUCGAAUGAAGGCCUUCGGGUUGUAAAGAUCUGUUGACAGGGACGAAUAAGCCAUGCGAAUAGUUUGGUGUAUGACGGUACCUGUUUAGAAAGCUCCGGCUAACUACGUGCCAGCAGCCGCGGUAAUACGGAGGAUGCGAGCGUUAUCCGGAUUUAUUGGGUUUAAAGGGUGCGCAGGCGGCCUGUUAAGUCAGCGGUAAAAGCCCGGGGCUCAACCCAGGCGAGCCGUUGAACCUGGCGGGCUGGAGUUGGAGAGAAGUACGCGGAAUGCGCGGUGUAGCGGUGAAAUGCUUAGAUAUCGCGCAGAACCCCGAUUGCGAAGGCAGCGUACCGGCGCCACACUGACGCUGAGGCACGAAAGCGUGGGUAUCGAACAGGAUUAGAUACCCCUGUAGUC
rnacentral:rRNA from 1 species